rnacentral:rRNA from 1 species
GCAUUUCAAUAACAGAUGCGAUCAUACCAGCACUAAUGCACCGGAUCCCAUUAGAACUCCGCAGUUAAGCAUGCUUCGGCGAGAGUAGUACUAGGAUGGGUGACCUCCCGGAAUGUCCUCGUGUUGCAUCCCUC